CCCCAGACUCCUACGGGAGGCAGCAGUGAGGAAUAUUGGUCAAUGGGCUUACGCCUGAACCAGCCAAGUCGCGUGAGGGAAGACUGCCCUAUGGGUUGUAAACCUCUUUUGUCAGGGAGCAAUUGGCGCUACGUGUAGCGUUAUCGAGAGUACCUGAAGAAAAAGCAUCGGCUAACUCCGUGCCAGCAGCCGCGGUAAUACGGAGGAUGCGAGCGUUAUCCGGAUUUAUUGGGUUUAAAGGGUGCGCAGGCGGAGGGGGCAAGUCGGGGUUAAAAUUGCGGGGCUCAACCUCGCCGAGCCGUUGAAACUGCUCUUCUAGAGUGGGCGAGAAGUAUGCGGAAUGCGUGGUGUAGCGGUGAAAUGCAUAGAUAUCACGCAGAACUCCGAUUGCGAAGGCAGCAUACCGGCGCCCAACUGACGCUCAUGCACGAAAGCGUGGGUAUCGAACAGGAUUAGAUACCCGUGUAACG
rnacentral:rRNA from 1 species